rnacentral:lncRNA from 1 species
ACCAGAACCCACCCCUAUAUAUAUAUAUAUGAAAAUAUCAGUAAUAUUGCUUCUUAAUCAAAUACUUAUAGCUCUGUGAUCAAAUAUAUCAUGGCAAGACAUAAAGUAUUACAUCAUUAUCUAUAAUUGUACCCUAUUGACAUCUAAAUCUAAUAAACAUCAAAAUGCAACCAAAAACACUGAUGUAACAUAUACUUAAAGGAACAAUUCAACAGCUCUUUUUUUUAUAAAAAAAUUACAUCUCUGUGUCAUAGUACAUGACUGUGUUCAUAUUUUGCCAACAAAAUCACCACCAAUUAGAAUACACUUUUUACUAAUAUGGAAGAGUAGUAAACAUAAACUUAUCAGAGAACAUGCUUCCCAAAAUAUAAUUGAAGUGUUCUUUGGGGUAAUGUGAUUCAUAAUGAUGGAGAGAACCUAAGAUGGAAUAUAUAAAGAUGUUGAGAAAACUUAUUCAUUGAGCUUUGAUAUCCUCUUUAAGAUAACUCCAUGUAAUCACUAAUCAAAUCUUCCCUAAACAAAUUAUGGUUAAGAUUUUACAGUAGUAGGCAUCUGUUUCUGUCUGUAAAUGAAAAAUAGACAUACUUUAAAACCCUUGUUUCAAUUUACGGUAUUAAGAUUAUUAUUUCAGUGAUAUUAUUUGAAUGCGAAUGUACCUCAAAAGUGCUUUUAUGAAUUGCUUUAUUUUGGCACCAACACAACGAACAUCUUCAGAGUCCCCAUUAACAGGUGAACUAUACGUUUCUUUGAUGGUAACGUGUGUGUGAUGCGAGUCCCCGUUUAUCUGAAUAAUUAAAUUUCAUACGAUCAUGACAAUAAAUCAACAAUAGCAACGGAAGUAGUGUGAUGAAAUAAGCUGAAUGUCACAAUCAAAGAAUAAUAAGCAUUCAUUUAAAUUAUAAGCUAGAGUAGUACAACUAAUAAAACACACACACACACACAGCUUACGAAUUCAAAGAGCAAAGAGUGAGGAAUGAAAAGUGACGAAGUUGAGGGAAGAACAGAAGGGUAUUUGCAAAACCCCUCUUCUCAGCAUUCACCAUCUUCCUCAACGCUUGGUUCAAUAUUCUCCCACCCAUCCUCUCUCGCUCUUUCUCUCCCAGUCUCCCUCCCUCCCCUCUCUGCUCUCUCCCUCAUUCCUCAUCUCCCCCCUCCUUUUGCCUCACUUCUACGGAGAGUAAUCAAGACCCAAACCCACCACUUUUACCGACCCGAUCCUAACAAAACCCUCGUUUUGCGUCGACUUGGAUUAAAUUAAAUCAAGAAUUAUAAAGAUU